GCUGGAGUGCAAUGGCGCUAUCUUGGCUCACUGCAACCUCUGCCUCCCGGGUUCAAGCAAUUCUCCUGCCUCGCUCCAGGCAUGUUGUGAGGAUCAAAUAAGAUCAAGCUUUUUGUGUGGAGGAGGUGAGACUGGAGGCAGGGAGCCCAUUGAAAUAGUCCCAGUGGGAGAUAUUGAGAGAUGCAAGGGAAAAGGAGGAAGGAUCAGCUGCAGAACUCAGUGACUUCUAAUACCUGAGGGUGCAUUGAGGGGAAGAGGGUGGAGGGUUGAGUCCUGCAACCAGAGGGACCUUUUCAGAAUGGAAAUGUGUUCAUAGCCUGUGAUUAAAAUUGUUCAUGGCUUCCCA